rnacentral:rRNA from 1 species
AACGAACGCUGGCGGCAUGCCUAACACAUGCAAGUCGAACGAGACCUUCGGGUCUAGUGGCGCACGGGUGCGUAACGCGUGGGAACCUGCCCUUAGGUUCGGAAUAACUCCCCGAAAGGGGUGCUAAUACCGGAUAAUGUCUUCGGACCAAAGAUUUAUCGCCUUUGGAUGAGCCCGCGUUGGAUUAGCUAGUUGGUAGGGUAAAAGCCUACCAAGGCGACGAUCCAUAGCUGUUCUGAGAGGAUGAUCAGCCACACUGGGACUGAGACACGGCCCAGACUCCUACGGGAGGCAGCAGUGGGGAAUAUUGGACAAUGGGCGAAAGCCUGAUCCAGCAAUGCCGCGUGAGUGAUGAGGGCCUUAGGGUUGUAAAGCUCUUUUACCCGGGAUGAUAAUGACAGUACCGGGAGAAUAAGCUCCGGCUAACUCCGUG